AGUUUUUGUUUUCCCCUAAAAAAGAUGAAGCCUCACAGCAUCUCCAGCGACCAUGCUUCUCUAAUCCAUGAGUCCAAGAGAACCUUUGGAGUUGGAGAGAAGCUGAAGCUUCAGGCUUGUGAUGCUGCAAGAAAUGGAAUAGUCUCCAAGGCAAAUACUGCUAUAACAAGUAGCGGCAGUCGUCGGUUUUCCAAGGAAAACGAAAGACGAAAAUGGAGCUAUUUCGCAGAAGACCCCAUUAGAACUGUGAUGUUCUUGGCCUCUUGGGGCCAUACUUGAGUUCUAACUUUUAAACCAAAUUCUUGAACAUAUUUGUCUGCUGAUGCUUUGUGUUCCAAGAAAAUCUUUAAUUAUAUUGUUGCUAUAAAUUAAUAUAACUAGAAAGUGUAAAAAAAAAAAAGAUAAUAUCUGCUGUUGUAUAACAAGAAAAUAAUUUAUAACUACUGAAUAUAAUAUGUAAUUUUAGCUUAAUUACUCUUUUUUAUUUUCCUUUUAAUGAAGGAUAUAUGAUGUGCUAUUUGACUGGACUAUUGGUUCUGUUUUUGAGAAG
rnacentral:misc_RNA from 1 species